GGGCCCGCACAAGCGGUGGAGCAUGUGGAUUAAUUCGAAGCAACGCGAAGAACCUUACCUAGCCUUGACAUCCUUGGAACCUGCCCCAAAAGGCGGGGUGUCCUUCGGGAAAUCAAGUGACAGGUGCUGCAUGGCUGUCGUCAGCUCGUGUCGUGAGAUGUUGGGUUAAGUCCCGCAACGAGCGCAACCCUUGUCUUUAGUUGCCAUCAUUUAGUUGGGCACUCUAGAGAGACUGCCGGUGUCAAGCCGGAGAAGGUGGGACGACGUCAAGUCAUCAUGGCCCUUACGGCUAGGGCUUCACACGUGCUACAAUGGGCGGUACAAGGGUCGCGAAACCGCGAGGUGGAGCUAAUCCCAAAAAGCCGCUCUC
rnacentral:rRNA from 1 species